UUCAUAAUGACAGAAUACCCCUUGUCAUCAAUAACAAACAUUUGUGUAGUUACUGUUCUGCUGCCAUACGGAAUGGGACUCUGGAAGUACGAAGAUUCUAUCACAGAAGAGAGCACAAGCCAUUUGUGAAGGUGAAAGCGACGUUGGAGGAUGGUAAGGAGGUUCCUCUGUGAAGCAUGAAGGCAUUGAUGAGGAGUGCUGAUUUCUAGUUGUCCUGAAUCCUGCGCUAUCAAGUGAAUAGCAUGAAAUGGAAUCAACGCGGAGAGCUUCGGAAAAACAUUUCUAAGCGUGUGUGUAUGCAGCAAUUAGGAUGCUCCAGUCAAAUGGGGCCUCAUCCCCGCCCCCUGGUAAUUUCCUGCUCUUGGUUGCGCCGAUGCUAAAUAUUUAUCCUGGCUUACUAAAGCAAGAACCAAAACGACAAAAACAACGUUAGAAACACACCACCCGCAGCUCAUCACUACUGAAUUUCUUCAUCCACUUUGUGCCUUUCCUGUCUCCUGAAACAAGUUUUCAUCAUCCCAGAGGACAUGUGAACUUCUUGUCUCUGUCUCUAUCUGUCUCUAUAAACCUGUAUGGAUGGCUGCGACUGUGAGAGGAAUAAGUAUGGGGGAGGUGUUCAAGGUUCUAACCCGUGUCCUCCUCCUGCUUAUAACAUCAAGUCCUAAUCCUCCUGCAACUGGGUCCGGAGAGAAAAUGUUUAGGAGACAAUUAUGCGUUAGUAAGGUGAUAAAAGUGGGACCCUGAACCUACUGGGUUAGUCUCUGUCAGAAGCAACACCAGAGGCUGACUCUUGCUCAUUCUUGCUUUGUUGAGUGCAUGCCCACUCUCUCUGUCACUCGAGGAUGAGCAGAAAGAGGCCAUCUGCAAGCCAGGAAGAGACUUGGUACAGCAGCAUAGUCUUCCAGGCUCUUGAUUUUGGACUUCCCAGCCUCCAUCUUUAAAAUAAACUUCUCUUUGUUUAAACCGCCCUAUCUCAUAGAGUUUGCUGUGGUCACCAGAUCUGACUAACGCAGAAUGGGAGCUUAAUCGGACAUUGUUUCCCCGAUGGAACAUUUCAGAUGAGAAGAUCACUGUGCAUUUUGUGUGCUCUGUCUUCGUGGCCUGGAAAAUAUGUCAAAAGAGCAGCAGCCUGAGCCAUGAACAGGUGUAUUGCUGGCUGAAGUGCUGUUGGAGGGCAGAGUUGUUUAAACCUCCAGGGAGUAUCAUCUGCUGCAUGCAGAAGUGGUAUGCACAUCUGGGGAAGGCUUAGUUUUGCCAGAAGUCAAAAGGCUUAAGAUAUACAAUUCCUAUUCUCAGUCUCCUUAUGGGGGAAGUGCAGGACUCCAGAUGUGAGGAGAUUUGGGACAGUGUAGAAUUAUGUCAUUACUAUGAACUAGGUAUUUUCCCCUAACUUAUUUUGAAACCCUAAACCACAGUAUGAUAUCAUAAAAGCAGGUGUAGACAUGGGAUUUUCUCUUCUUUCUUUAAGUAUAUACUCCUAAGAGGUCACAUGAAGACACAAUUGGAAGAUAACUGUCUACAUACCAGGAAGAGGACCUUCUCCAAGAACUCAACAGGGAGUACCUGAUGUUAGAUUUCUCGUCUCCAGACAACUGAGAAAUAUUGACUUGUGAUUUCAGCUACCCAGCCUAAGGUAUUCUGUUGUAGCAGUGUGAGCUGAUCAAGAAAAUAACAUUUUGCUCUAGCAAAAGAGGAGCUUUUGACAAUAAUGAAAUCUCUCCCAGUUUCUCACCAUUUUCUUUUCUCAGAAAGCAGGUUUAAAAUACACUGAGGAAUAAUCUCCCUAAACACAAUGUGACUGGAACCAGCAUCUCUCUGUCAAAAUCUUAGCCACAGGAAUCAGGUAGGAUCAAUAUAGAACCCAUUUGAGCAUAGGGAUUUGAGCAAAUUCCCAGACUGUGUGUCCAUGAAGCCAACCUUUUCCUGAUCCUGAUUGAAGAGGACUGCUCAUCUCAGUGUGAGAAAGGGCACAAAGAGAAGGCUGGAUUUGAUGAAAACAGAUACAGGUUUCAUCUUCCUCCAAGGUCAAAGGCAGAACUUUGUCUUUUCUGUUUUACUGAAGGUCCCCUCACUCCAUUCUUUUGCUGUACAGUGAAUUCCAUAUCUACAUUCUCCAAGUUCCUCCUUUGUUGAGGGUCCCCAACAAGACGAAUGAAUGGGGCUGGCCAUGAUGUGUGGGCCAAGACCAGUCCAAUUCUAGUUUUGUUUUUUGUGAUACUUAGGAUCAAUCCAAGACCUAACACAAGUUAGGCGAGCACUCUACAACUGAGCUACAUUCCUAACCCUAGAGUCAAAUUCCGGAUGGGAUGAUCCUCUCAGGCCUCAUUUAUUUGCUAUGCUGUGUUCUUUUUGGACAGGCUAUUACGUUAAAAAGCCAUGAAAUGUGUGCAUGAAGCUUUCUUCAUGAGUCUAUCCUCUGCAGUAGAACUUGGACUAGGGGUAGUUUGCCAAUGGAUCUAUCCCAGGAACUCCUUUCCAUCUUCUAGAAUGCCUUUGUUCUGUUAUAGAAGAGUCUAUGACCCCAUAUUCUGCUCAGAUAUCUUCUAAAAGGAAGAAGGAGGAAGAAGAAAGAAUGAAGGCAAACAGCUUCGUAACUAUGUGCUGUGUGCCCAUGAAACUGCCCUGCCUGUGACACGAACUCAGAAGUAACUAACCUUAUUUUUUCUCUAGAACAUCCUGGGACUCUUGUUAUAGACAAGGCAUGGAAGAUUAGAUGGACUCUCAUUUGCUGAAUCUUAUUACUUAGUUCCCACUCAGAGAGCUGAGGUCCACAAAUGGCUCAGUACCUCUUAUCAUACUUACUAACUCUAGUUAGUAUGGACCAAAAUUUAGGGCCAGAGAAUGAUCUUACUAACAACUAAUAUUGAUUGAAUGUCUACAAUGAUAGGUGAUAUGGGGCCAAGGUUCCUCCUCUGCUCUCUGCUCCUCUAAGGUCUGACUCAGAACUGACACCCACCCCCCUUACACUUUCUUUUGUGGGAAAGCCCCUUAGAAAAUUGCCCAACCCUGUCCCAGGGACUUGAGAUCAAGCUGACUCAGCUAACCACUGCUUUAUGCUUCUGUUAAACUGCUUGCUUGCUCCCCUUCCCCUGAAAUUGCCAACAAGGAUAUGGCUUUUGUCUUCAAAAGCUGCCAGCAGAAAGCAGUGAGGGUGCUCCAUGACAACUGUUUCUUUCCAGUCAGUUGCCGGCUGGCCUUAGAAAGACUCUCAGAUUCACUCUGGUUUUGUUGAGUGGUUCUUGGGGUUUUUACCCCAUGAUAAUAGGAACAAUGAAAAACUUCUGAUAUACUUUGGAUUGAUGGUCUCAAGCCUAUUUUCCUUUUCUGUGUCCACACCCCCUAUAUCAUGACUACAGCUUCCACUGUCAAGGAGUAACACCUAUUUCUCUACCUCUUGAAUUCCAGCUGGUUCUUUGAACUUCUUUGUCUUAAUCAAAUGCUCCAGAAGAGACAAUGUGAUAUUCAGGAUGUAUGAUGAGGAAGCUUAUACUCUUCAGAUUGUCUCUCUUGGAACUCUGGGAUCUCAGCGAAAAUAAGCCUACACUAGCAUGGUGGAGGUGAUCAUUACAGGAGAGCUGAGUCGUUCCAACUGGGACCAUGAGAAUGCCCCACCCCAGAUGACUUGCUGACUAGCUAGAGAUGCAUCAGUAGGCUUAGCUGAUGUCAGGCAAACCAAGUCGUGGUCAGCAUAUUGAUUUGGCCGAACAACUGAGACAGGUAAAACAAUGAUAGAUGGUUUUUUCUUUAAGCCUCUGUGCAGCGUCAUUACAUUAAUAACCUACGUACAUUAUUAUUUCCAUUCUCUUGAUGAGGAAACAAGCUGAGAGGUUAAGUCCUUGUCUCUGAUAAACAGCUAGUGAAUGGACUCAGAAAGCUGAACUCCGGAGUCUAGAUUCUUGUCUGCUACUUUGUAAGAUCUCAUCAUAACACUCAAGUAUCUGUCAGCCCUUGGCUAAUGUAAAGUCAUUUGACUGUAGGAAACUGUUUCUGCUGGUGUGGACAGGUCAUAGGAUGGAGUUCAGACAUCAGAAAUCUUUCUGCUGAUAAAAUGCCAUGACAGCUAUUGACUAAAACAUACAAAAUAAAACACUGCAAUCUAUCUGAGAAAAAAUACUUAAGCGCAAAACAAGUGAGACAAACAAUAUCUUUGAAAUCAAGGUUGCAAAAUGCAAGAUAGCAGAAAGUUUGAUUGAAUCUCAUUAAUCCCAAGUUAUGACCUCGUUCUGUAAGAGGUCUGCAUGACAAUCCUGUAAAUGCGAAAGACAUCCUUCACUUGAAAAUGAAAACAAAAUGCAAUUAUGUUAGUGGAAGAAUUUCCUCAUUAAAGAAAACUAAACUCAC